rnacentral:rRNA from 1 species
GGUCGGCGUGAGCCCUCACUCAGUAAUGAUUUCCGUAGGUGAACCUGCGGAGGGAUCAUUA